AGGACACGGAUUCGCCCUGGGAAAGAAUACCUAGGCGGCUCGGCAACGUAGGUCUCCGUGUCGGGUCACGGCAAUCCAAAGGUCGCACCUUUCGCCUCCGGCGCUAGGGUUUCGUCCCCCCCCAAUUCGGGGAAGGUCCGCGACAGCACGAGGUGAUUUUUCUUUGAAGCUGUGACGUGGGAGAUGCCGCCGAAGUCUAGGAGAGGCGGCGCCGCCGCGGCGAGGAAGGCGCCGGCAACGAGGGGGCGGGUUGGGAGGCCGCAGGCUGCUGCGGAGGAGGCGCCGCUCGUGGAGGAGGUGAAGGAGGCGCCCGCCGAGGAGGUGAAGGUCGCCGAGGAAGCCCAGAAGAUGGUCGAGGAGCUGAAGCGCCAGCCAUCGGCGCCGCCGCUGUCGCAACAGCCGGAGGUGGAGGAGAAAGGCUCCGAUGCCACAGCCAACGGUGCCAACCACGCGGAAGAUGAGGGAGCUGUGAAAGAAACAUAUGAAGAAGAGGACAAAGGUGAACGACUAGAGUUUGAGGACGAACCAGAAUACGAAGAGGAGGCUGCUGUGGACUACGAGGAGAAAGAUUUGGAGCAUUAUGAAGAACAAUAUGAGGAUGGUGAUGAAGAGGUGGAGUAUACUGAAGAUGUGGUUGAAGUGGAGACUGAUAUGGCUGAUGAGGAACUUGAUGAAGGUGGCGAUGAUGGCGAAGGGGAAGGAUAUGAAAAUGCUGAUGAAGAACAUCAUGUGGAUGUGGAUAACGAAGAGCAUAGUGAAAUGGUCAAAGAGCACCGCAAGCGGAAGGAGUUUGAAGUUUUUGUUGGUGGGCUAGAUAAAGAUGCAACAGAAAAUGACCUUAGGAAGGUUUUUGGUGAAGUUGGUGAUAUAACUGAAGUUCGCCUCAUGAUGAAUCCUGUCACAAAGAAGAACAAAGGCUUUGCCUUCCUGCGAUAUGCAACUGUGGAGCAAGCAAGGCGUGCUGUUUCAGAGCUAAAGAAUCCACUGGUGCGGGGUAAACAGUGCGGUGUUGCACCAAGUCAUGAUAAUGAUACACUCUUCGUUGGCAAUAUCUGCAAAACAUGGACAAAAGAACAUUUGAAGGACAAACUGAAGAGUUAUGGAGUUGAGAAUUUUGAUGAUUUACUACUGGUAGAGGAUAGCAAUAAUCCAGGAAUGAAUCGUGGCUAUGCUUUGCUCGAGUUUUCUACUCGACCUGAAGCAAUGGAUGCUUUCAGGAUAUUGCAGAAAAGGGAUGUGGUUUUUGGAGUUGAUCGUAGUGCAAAGGUUUCCUUUGCUGAUUCCUACCCCAAAGUUGACGAUGAAAUAAUGGCACAGGUCAAAACUGUAUUUAUUGAUGGCCUUUCUCCCUCAUGGGAUGAAGACCGAGUUAAGAAAUAUCUCAAAAAAUAUGGAGCUAUUGAGCAAGUGGAACUUGCUCGAAAUAUGCCGGCUGCCAAGAGAAAGGAUUUUGGGUUUGUUACCUUUGAUACUCAUGAUAAUGCUGUUGCAUGUGCCGAAGGGAUAAACAAUUGUGAGAUUGGUGAAGGUGAUCACAAGGCAAAAGUAAGAGCUAGAUUGUCACGACCCCUACAGCGGCCUCCUAGAAUGAAGCAUGGGUUAAGAGGAAAUUUUAGAGUUGGGCAUGGUGCUUCCCGAGGUGACCGUCUACCGUAUGCUCGCCCUCCUCCACCUCGCAGGCCUCCACCACGUCUUGUUCGGCCUGCUGUCGGCCGCUUACCACCCAUCAGGAGCCAUCCAUUGAAGAGGCCUGUUGAUAUUAGAGAUAGGCGGCCUGUUAUGUCAAUGCCAGAUAGAGCUAGGCGUUUGCCCCCUCCAGAGAGAUCUUAUGACAGGAGGCCUCCAGCUCCAGUUUACCCAAAGAGAAGUCCAAGGAGAGAAUACGUCAGGCGUGACGAGCUUCCUCCUCCAAGGAGCAGAGCUGCACUUGACUACAGCCCAAGAGUUCCAGUUGAUAGACGUCCCACUUUCAGGGAUGAUUAUUCACCCCAGGGAUCAGGUUACUCAGACCUAGGUCCACGUAGUGCUCCUCGUCUUUCUGAUAGGCGAGCAUAUCCUGAUGAUAGUUAUGGUGGGAAGUUUGACCGGCCUUUACUGGCAUAUAGGGAGAGUCGGGGCCGUGAUUAUGACACCAUUUCCGGAUCAAAGCGUCCAUAUGCUGAUAUGGAUGAUGUGCCUCGGUAUCAAGACAUCAGUGUUCGUCAGUCCAAGGCACGGUUGAACUAUGACGUUGGUGGUAGCAGUGCUCGGUAUGGUGACACAUAUAGUGAGAGACCUGGACGAUCACAUGUGGGAUAUAGUGGCAGUCGAUCUAUCUCUGGUCAUGAUUCAGCAUAUGGUAGCAGCCGUCAUGGCGUGAGUUAUGGAGGUUCUGCUAGCGGUGGUGAUGCUACUGGAAUGUACUCAUCAGGUUACAGUGGUAGCUAUGCGUCUCGUGGAUCUGAUGUUGGUGGGAGUUCAUAUUCAUCACUUUACACAUCAGGCCGUAGUUUAGGUAGCGGCAAUGGUGGCUACUAUGGGGGUAGCGGUUCCGGUUCAUAUUACUAAGAUUUGGCAUCAUAGGAGUUGGUGUAGGCCAGCAUUGUAUGGAGCUUCUGAAUUUGAGGCCUACAGAUCUGGAAAAGAAGUGCCAAGUACUCAAGUCUGGCAAUGUUUUCAAAUAAGACAUGUUCAAAGAAGCCAGAGACAUCGAGUUGGUUGAAGCAGUAGUCCGGAGGAUGUUCUGGCUUGUUUAUGUAAUGUAAGGAUUUGCUUUAUUUGGUCAAGAGUUAUGAACAUAAGGGCCAGCUAUGGUGUUUUAUAAGUGUUUCGACAUGUUUACUUCCAGUGUUUCUAUAACCUUAUUGAGACAGAUAUGGAGUGUACUUUGAGGUAGUUUCUGCAAUUCAAGGUUUUUGGAGAUUCCAUCUUGUGAUGUGCUGGCCAAAGAUCAGACUUACAAAUGAAGCUCCACAAGCAGUGCUUCUUGUAAGGCUGCUAGUUUCUGAAAACCUUCUCUUCUUAGCAUGCUUCACCUGUUCUCUAGAGGAUCAAUAUUUGGACAGAAUGUUGAUUGGUCAAGACCAAAAUUCUGGACCCCUUCCAUGUUGGAUUCCAUGGUGUUAUCGGUUGCCAAAUUUUGAGAGAAACUGCUUGUGUGGCUGAUGUAGUUCUUUCACCAAGCAGUUACUUUGGCUUCCCCGAAGUUUAAGAUAACAGAAUUUGCAGCAAAUGGAUAUUUGAAAUUGAGUAUAUCCCUGCAAUACUUUUGACUUUAUAGAACACAAUACGCAAGGCACCAGGUAAACAAGCAGUGCCAAUACUGACCAGCCUGGCUUGAUCACCCACCAUCUAUGAAAUUUCUUUGAACUGCUAUAUGGAGCAUGGGUUAAUAACAUUUUUGAGCUUAAUGGGCAUUGGAUGAUUGCAAGCUUCAAGAAUCUUGCUGGAGGCAUAACACACUAACUGAUCAAAUUGCAGAAAAAGUUUGGUUUAUCUGACACCGCAGUUUCUAUGAUAAUUUUAUUUAGCAUGGGUUAUGACAUAACAUUUAACUUAGUCUUGGGACACUUGGCUUUCAGCCCAUCACACGGGGAUAAAUCUGAUAGGUCAAAUUUUUAUGACUUCAUGAUUGUUUUGCAUAGAUUUUUUUUUUAUAUCAGGACGUCGUACUUUGCUAAGAAUAUACUAGUUUACUGUGUUUCAACAGUAACUAAUGCUGUGUGGGAUUCUGCAAAGCAGAUGAAAGGUACCAAUACCAGCUAUACUGCAUGAGCGCUUACAAACUGCUGGUUCCAUCCUUGUGUGAAUCAUAACAAGGAAAACACAUUCGUAACUUUGAGUUUAUUUGGUCAAUUGAACUAGAAACAGUAACGUUAUUAGGUCCUAAGGUCUAAGGCAUUUAAUUCUGAGUUUAUUUGAUCGAAUGAACUAGGCACAAUAACAUUAUUGGAUCCUGAAUUGGUUUUUGGAAAUUACAUAUUUGUAGUAGUGGCACUGAAUAGGAAGAGAGGCCGGUAUCUAGUAUCAUUGAAGAGGCAGCUUUGAGAUGGCUUUUGCAGUAUUUGGGAACAACAUUUUGUGUGCUUAUCAAUGUACUUUGCCAGCUGGUUGUUUAGUGCUCGUGUUAGUAGUUUGCUGGAAUAGGACUUAAUAAAGGAAAUUGGUUAUGGUGCUAUGAGAUCUAGCAAAACUAUGUUUGGUUGCAUGAAAGGAAUAGUUUAUCCAGCUAUAUGGAAUGGCGUCAUUGAAUUUAGAUACUGGGGGCCAGUAUGUGGGAAUCAAACACCUUGCGACUGUUGAUCUGGUGCCCAUUUGAGAAACAAGGGGUAGAUGGAGAUUGUUAUUUAUUUACAGGGCAUGGAUGAGAUCUGAAAGCAGGCAUGUGAAGGAAACAUUUUUUCUUGAAAAUAGUAAGCACAGGAUACCACAUUGAAGUUCUGAACUGAAGGGUCUUGAAUCCUUUUCAAUUUUUGAAGCAAACACAAAGAGAACCAGCUUACUCUAACUAUAUUUAAUUAAGUACUCAGCCAAAGAUUCAUUGAAGUCAGAUCAAACAAGCUGUCAAAUAUAUCAUUACUAUCUGUUUAGGAAUUCUUAAAUCUGACCAUUUGAGUGUCUAGCACAAUUCCAUUGCUGCUAUCCUGUUUUUCAUGUUUGUAGUAAUGUUACUAUCAAAGAAGCUGUUGAUGCUUAUUAUUUUCUCUUCUUCCCCAGCAUGCUAGCAUUUUUAAUCUUUUAAACUGUACUGCGGUUUAGAUGUUACUUGGUUUUCAUGCUAACCUGGCUUAAAUUGUUUCUUGAGCGCUUUGAGAAAUGUAGCCAGAAUUCUCCUCCCAAGACAAGCAUUGAGCUUGGAACAGGUAGUGUGAUUUUUGUCUUAUGCCUCUAGGUUUGUUUCUUGAAUGGCUUCAUGUGGUAGCUGUGAUGUAUUGCUUUCAUCAGAAUCAGAAUGGUUAAAGUCCACUCCCCUGCGCUUCGCUCUCCGCAUCCCAUGGGAAAAAUAGGAUGCGUGUCGCUCAGCCUGUGCUUUGGCUAUUUUGCAAAAAAGCCCUCCUAUUUUCUGAGAAUGACAAUAGAGCCUAGGUCGUUCGGAUUGUACAGUAAACACAUUUGUAAUUUUUGCAUACAGGUACUCAUAACAAUAUUUAUUUCUAUACAAAGAAGAAAAAAUUCAAGAAUUCUUCUAUUUUUGCGAAACCACCCAAACAUUUUUCAUUUACCCCCUCCCGCCGCACUCGAACCCUAACCCCCUAUCCCUCCUCCCGCCCGCCGUCCACUCUCUCCCUCCUCUCCUGCUCCCCGCCGCCGCCUCCCCUCCCCGUCUCCAUCCCCGCUUGCCUUCGUCGCCUCUUCCCGUCGCCUCCUCUCUCUCUGUACCCGGCGGCGCCUCCUCUCUCUCUCGGUGCCUUCUUCCUCGCGGCGCCCCUCCCCGCCCCUCACCCCUCCGUGCGGCACGGGUCGGCAUGGAUCCAGUGCCUCCUUGCCGGUGGGGCUCCUCCCUUUACCUCUCUGCGCGGCACGGGCCAGCAUGGAUCUGGCGGGCCUAGCGCGGCUGCGCCGCCCACGCCAAGGGGAACAUGCACGAGAGGCGGCGCGACGAACUGUUAUGCAUUGCUCCAUGCGAAGACCUCUUCUGUGUUCGUCCACGCGAAGGCUCGCAGCGAGCAGUGGCCAAGUGGGCCCUGUGCCUCCGACACCCGCCACUCCAGGAGCGCCUCCGACUCCAGAUCUGCGUCGAGGCAUCGCCGAUGAAAGCAAGGCCAAGGUACGUCCGGGCCUUCCUUUCCUCCCUCCUUCCCCUUGGGUACCAACGCCAUGACCUAUAAUCUCUCCCUCCCUCCCUCCCUCCCUCCCUCCCUCUCUCUCCCUGUGUUGCGACAGGAAAGAGAUUUCUCCUCAUUUAAUUCAUCCUCUACUCUGGCAAGUUAUUUUGAUCUAAAAUGUUCAUUCCUCCCUCUUUCCUUGCAGCAGGAAGGGGGAUUUCAUUUUGAUUGGAUUCAUUCUCUUCCUGAAAAAAUUAUAGAUCUGAAAAAUUCCUCAUUGUGGAUGUAGACUGCUUAUCGAUCUUGGAUUCAGGCGUUAAUUUGUUGUAGAAAAUUGAAGCUUUGACCUUGUAUAUGCCAAACUAAUUGUGCUAGGAACAGGUACUCGUGUUUCCUGUCUUCGUUUUCAGAUGUAUCUUAGUAAAAAAAAAGGUAACUUGGAUAUAUCUUUGGGUGGCUACUUAUUUAGGCCUGCAUUUUCUUUGAUGGACAGGUUGCUUGCCUAUUACUUUCUUCUUUCUGAUAUAGUAUGUGGGGUAUCAUUUAGCCUCUCCAUCUUGGAUCAAGUUCCCCUUUCCUUCACUGUGUUUGCACUUUAAUGGUCAAUAGUCUUAGCGUUCUAUAUUUGGGUUUUUAGGUACUGCAUUUCCAUUUAUCUUUUUGUAGUAUUUGUACUCAAGCUAGACAUCGAUGUGUGGACAGAGUAGACAAAGCUACUCAUUCUGAAAAAUGAUGAUAUCAGUCAUUAUGGAACAGUUUGAAGGGCGAGCGCAACUCUAUAUUUUUCGGCAUUGCAAAUGAUGAAUUCAAUUCAAAUAAUUUUGUUUGCUCCUUUGGCUUCAAAUCUGUAAAAGAUCCUAGGCAAGCAAUUCUGCUGCCAUGUUACAGUUUAUUUACCUAUCCUUUCAGUCAUACUCCAUUCUAAGGAAUACUGAUUCUUGCUAAUUCGAACUCUAGCCUCUAGGUCCAGCGAAUAGACCACAUGACCUUUGUUGGGUUGCUAAAAAUUUCAGGUGUUGUGCCUUGCAGGGUACUAUUGUCUCCUAUAGCCACUCUGGUGGACCAGAUAGCAAGAUUCUCUUGGCCUGCUUUGUUCUUAAGCAUGCUAUAAAUUUUGUUAAAUUAGAUGUGAAAACUGGAGCGGCAAUGCAAUUUUAUUUUAACCAAAUGAAUUAAUAGACAAUCUGUUUUGGAAUCAUGUUCUCUUCUGGCUGAUAAAUUAAAUGGGAUUUACAGUUACCGAUGACCAUGCAUCUUUCUUUCUAAAUGUCUUGCUCUUUUAGGUGUCUUUGCUGCUUUUUUUUAAUUGCCUAAACUAUUUCAGACGUUGAUCAGACAUUUGUUGAGACAUGUAUCCUUAACUCCUCAGGUAAUUGCAAAACAACUUGAGAAUGAUGCACACUCAUGCUAUGCUAAUGGAACAUUUAAAUUAAAGAAUGUUCAUGCACCACAUGGAUAUAUUGUGAGAAUUCCUGUUCUUAAAAAUUAAAUAUUGUAUAAGUUCAUCCGGUUGAAAGCCAUCAGAUGAGCAAUUGUAUAUGUUCAACUGGUGACUUCUUAACCUUUUGCCAUUCACAUUGGUACAAAGGAAAAAAAAACAGUACACAAGAAAGAGGUUGACCUCACUAAAAUGAUAAUUUUAAUGUUAGUUUGCCUGGAGACAAUUACUCUAUCGAAUGAGUUUUGUUAAUGUACACCGGGGCUCCAAGUUUUAUGUGGUCUAGAAUUGAACAAUUUUUUUGUGCCUUUACGUGUUGAUGACAAAUUUACUAUGAUCAAUGUAUUUGUAUGCAGCAGAUUAAGGUGAUCAUGUUCUGUCCAUUUGGUUCCGGAAGCUCAUUACAUAUGCCUACAGUGGGAAGAAACUCUUAUUGAGUCUUCUUCAGUGAGGGAUGCCAUACUGUAGAGAUAACUUCCUUGUGGGCUCAAAUUUCAAUGGCAAAGGUCCUCCAAUCUCCCUGUCAGCGCAUGCUUCGAGAUGCCAUGAAUUUUAGCUAGACCCGCAAUACUUCUCUGUAUUUGCUCAAGCUGGUGUGCCCGGAUAUGUGCAGUAUUUGGGUUUGUUAGGGAUCUGAUCGGAAUGAGUACAUUCCAAGCAGGGAUGCAUGAGCAGUGAAGCUCAUGUUGAUUUUGUCUCUACCAGUUGUGGCCAGCUUUUGUGUACCCUUUGUCUCCAGCAAGAAGGGUCCGAUGCUUAGGAUUUGGAGUCUGCAUGGACCUCAUCUCGCAAACUCAUAUCCUGAUGAUAGGAUAAAUUUGUGCUUGGAUGUAGACAUGGUGAUCGGAUGCGAUGUGAUGUCCAUGAUUGAGAUGCCGGACAAACACGUAGUGCAUAGGGGAGCUUGGUGCUCGGAUGUCUUCUAAUAUUCAUUAUUCUGAUGUCGGACAGACACCUAAUGGCUAAGAUAGUUUGGAGCACAGAUGUGCCGUAAUAUUUAUGAUUCAAAUGCUGGAUAGAUACCUAUAUUAAUAUGUUGAAGAUGUGCUUCCUCCUAGAUAUAGUACUUUCAUAUUAAGAUACACAUAAUUUGAUUGUCGCUUUUUAUUAGCUUAUGGUUACUAGCAUUUGAUUGUUCAAACUGUAGGGCGCGCAUCGCGCGCCGGAUGUUCUAGUGUUACUGAUUUGAGCUUGUAUAAGAACACUGUGACCAUGGAAUGAACCAAAUGUACAAAAUAUGGUGUGUUUAUGAGAAA